rnacentral:rRNA from 1 species
UACAGAGGGGGCAAGCGUUGUUCGGAAUUACUGGGCGUAAAGGGCGCAUAGGCGGCCUGUUAAGUCGAACGUGAAAUCCCUGGGCUCAACCCAGGAACUGCGUCCGAUACUGGCAGGCUUGAAUUCGGGAGAGGGAUGCGGAAUUCCAGGUGUAGCGGUGAAAUGCGUAGAUAUCUGGAGGAACACCGGUGGCGAAGGCGGCAUCCUGGACCGAUAUUGACGCUGAGGCGCGAAAGCCAGGGGAGCAAACGGG